UACAGAGGUCUCGAGCGUUAGGCGGAAUCACUGGGCUUAAAGCGUGUGUAGGCGGAUUGGUAAGUACUUUGUGAAAUCCCACGGCUUAACCGUGGAACUGCUUGGUAUACUGCCAGUCUUGAGCCAGCUAGGGGCUACCGGAACAAAUGGUGGAGCGGUGAAAUGCGUAGAUAUCAUUUGGAACGCCAAAGGUGAAAACAGGUUGCUGGGAAUGUGCCGACGCUGAGACACGAAAGCCAGGGGAGCAAACGGG
rnacentral:rRNA from 1 species